GAUGAACGCUGGCGGCGUGCCUAAUACAUGCAAGUCGAGCGAACAGACGAGGAGCUUGCUCCUCUGACGUUAGCGGCGGAUGGGUGAGUAACACGUGGAUAACCUACCUAUAAGACUGGGAUAACUUCGGGAAACCGGAGCUAAUACCGGAUAAUAUAUUGAACCGCAUGGUUCAAUAGUGAAAGACGGUUUUGCUGUCACUUAUAGAUGGAUCCGCGCCGCAUUAGCUAGUUGGUAAGGUAACGGCUUACCAAGGCAACGAUGCGUAGCCGACCUGAGAGGGAGGUAGGAGACAAUGGAAAUGAGCAACGGAAAAGAGGAAUAAGGGAGGAAGCAGUAGGGAAUGUGAAGAAAUGGGCGAAAGAAUGAAGGAGAAAAGAAGCGGGAGGGAUGAAGGUAUUAGGAUAGGAAAAAUCUGUGAUGAGGGAAGAACAAAUGGGUAAGUAACGGGGCACAGCGGGAAGGUACAGAAGCAGAAAGACAAGGCGAAAUACGUG
rnacentral:rRNA from 1 species